AUGCGACUAUUCCAGAGUGGAAAAUGAUACUCUAGUCUGAGAAUAAGCCUAGGAUUCAAACGCGUUACUCCAAGAUGGAUUACAGGUGCACAUGGGAACCUUGAGUCUGGCCUCGAAACUUUUUCUUGACCGAUAUGUGCUUGGAAAGCUAUAUGAUUUUGAAGAAGAGUGUGUCGAAAAUUACUUGUACUAAGUGGAAUAAUCUAAGCAGGAAAAUUCAAAAAUCAGAUUGCUAAAUUGAUGAAAAGAACUGAAAAAAUGGGUCACAAAUUUAUUAAACUUGUUACAAACAAAUGAUUUAGGGUUGAGGAAACUAGAGGAUCUUUGUGAGAAAACAGGCAGCCAGCUGGCUGUCAUUCAUAGAUUUAUGUCAAAUCACACUGGAGACUUCAGUGAAAGUGAACAGAAGUUGGUUGAAAAUUUGCCAGUCCAAAGUGUCAGAAGAAAAUUUUAUAGUAGAUCAAUAAGUGAACGGUCCUCACAUGGUGUUCAAGAACUUGCAAUGGAACUUGAAGGAAAAUCGUGGAAAAACAGAACUGAUCGUUCCAAAAGGUUAAAAUCUCCAUCACCUUUUGAUGCCUCACCAGAAAAUAACCCAAGAAGACUAAUUUCAAAUGUUAACAGACUGGAAAAUUCAAGAAAGUUCUUCAGGUUCCGACAAAUACCUUAAAUGGUCCAUUGAGAAGUCCUAAAGGAGAAGAGAAAGGAAAUUGUCUUUAAAAAGGGAUCUUGGGUCAGAUAUUUCAGAGGAGAGUAGUGAGGAUGAUUAUAAACCAGACAACAGGACAUUAGUUGGGGAAAAUGCCAUUUCCAGAGAGAAUAUGCAAGAGGAUGCUCCACCAGGGCGAGAUGCUACAGUUAAAAUCCUUGAGUGCAGAAGUGAGGCCGGAGGAUCCCAGGUCCAGGGAUCUAAGUCUGACUCAUCUGUAACCUCAAGUUAGGAUACAGAGAUCAUCUGAAGGUUUACAACAGGAAGCAUCUUGCUGCUACCCGAGACUAUACUUCAAUUACUGAUGAACUGGAGGGGCGUCUACCAAACUCAGUGAAAGAGGAUCGAUUAGAUAAAAGACUCCCAGCUAUCA